AGGUUCCUGUGGUGUUUGAGGAGCUGCCAGUGGUGUUCGAGGAUGUGGCAGUGUAUUUCACCCGGGAGGAGUGGGGCAUGCUAGACAAGCGGCAGAAGGAGCUGUACAGAGACGUGAUGCGGAUGAACUACGAGCUGUUGGCAUCCUUGGAUAUUCUCUAUUGAUUCCUACUGUGGAAGAUGGAGAUACGGCCCUGUUACAUCACCUGGGCCCCCGCUUCUCUUCCCUCCAUCCUCUCAGAACAG
rnacentral:lncRNA from 1 species